GCCGGUUUUUUAGCUGUGCAGCAAAACGCUGCCGUUUUGUGUUUUGUGAACCCUAAAUGUCUGAAUCCCUAAUCCCAUCCCUUCGCCCUUCGCACUUUCAUUUCACUUUCAUAGUUCAGCACUCCAGCUCCACCAUUCUCAUCAAGGUUCAGAGAGACAUAGGGAACGCCAUCACGCUCCGUCGCGCACUCUCGGGCCUCUCGCCGGAUCCUCCGCGUCGUGUGCUCGCAUCUCGCCUCUCUCCUCUGUGCUCGGCUGCUUGCACCUCCCUCCGCCAGUGAGUGCUCGAGCUGUGCGAGUUGGUUGUUGCUCGUCGUCCGUGGUUGUCUUUGCUUGAUUCUGCCUCCCAGUGUCACUCGAGUCUCGUCUCAGUCACUGGCAUCUCAUGGUUCGCCUGUCUCGUCGCCGGCGGCAGAAGCAACUCGUGGGGUUGUCCCUUGCGUCGUCGCCUUCCGUCUGGGGGUCGCUGACUCGCCGUCGACCGUUGGUUCAGUGUUGGCUUCAACUUUCAAAUGGGAAUUAGGAGCUGGUGAAGAUAACAACAUCUUCUGGAAUUGAGUCUGUUGUUUCACUGCCUGAUGAGAAAGUCAAGAAUUUGAAGAUCACUUAGACAAAAUGAAGAUUCCAAUUUGCUAUGCCUCACCAGCAAAUGCACAAGCUCAAAAAGAAUCAAAAGCAUAUAGAGAAUGGAGACUUGAUGAGUACAAUGAUGCUUCAUGGUUAUUUUCAUCCAUGGACCCCUCCUUUAAGCAUCGAGUUCUUGAUUGUUACUUUGCUCAUGAAUUUUGGAGCCGCCUUCAUACACAUUUUGCAUCCCAAACCAAGGUUCGCAUUAGACAACUCCAAUUGCAAUUGAAGUCAAUAAAAAAGGUGGGAUCAAUAUCAGAUUAUCUUCUUGAAAUAAAAAAAGUGGUUGAUUCUCUUGCUACUGUUGGAGCUCCUUUAAUUGAGGCAGAAUACACCAAUAUCAUUCUAGAUGGUUUAAAUGAAGAUUAUCAAUCUUUUCUCACCUAUGUUACAGCAAAACAUCUACCCUACUCCAUUCCUGAUCUUGAAGCUCUCUUGAUGGCUCAAGAAGACAUUGUCAAGAGAUUCAAAAAACCGGAUUCCUUUAUGGUGUAGGUAAAUUUUACUCAGUCACAACCUGUUAAUCAAAAUAAUUCUGAUCCUAGCUUUGAAAGACACACAACAAACAUGCUUAGUAGAGGAACUUAUGGUAGAAGAGGUCGUGGAGAAAGAUCGCAGCGUGGAGGCAGGGGUGCAUGGAACAAUCCUAAUCGUCCACAAUGCCAAAUUUGUGGCAAGCUGGGACAUGUUGUCAGUUACUGUUAUUUUCGAUUUGAUCAACAAUUCCAGCAUGCCCAACAAAAUUCAGGUUCAUCAUUCAUGCACAAUGCCUACCUCCACCUCCCUCCUUUCAUAACCACAGAGCAUUGCUAGUUACACCAACUACUAUGGCUGACCUUUCAUGGUAUGCUGAUUCUGGAGCUUCUCAUUACUGUAUUCCAGAUCAGUCUAACUUACAGCAAUCACAAGAAUACCAUGGUCAAGAUUAGGUGUAUAUAGAUAAUGGUUCAGGUAUGAAGAUUCAGCAUGUUGGAAAAUUUUUUUUACAUCAUAAACCAACUGAAAAGAGAUACUAUCUUUAUGAUUUAUUACAUGCCCCUUCAAUUGCUCAUAAUCUUGUUAGCGUAUCAAAAUUUACAAGAGAUAAUCAAGUUUAUUUCUCUUUUUGGCCUGAUGUGUGUUUUGUGAAAUCUCAGGCUACCAAGGAGGUGCUUCUCCAAGGAACAGCAGCUAAUGGCAUAUAUAGAUUUUAAAAAGUUUAUAUUCCAAAAAUAAAAACAGAUUGUAGUCAGUUUAAUUCUCAUGUUCUUAUAGCUAAGACUUUAUCUCUAGAUAUGUAUCACAAGAGAUUUGGUCACCCAACAAUACAAAUUGUAAAAUUCAUUGUAGCAAGUUGUUCACUACCUAUUAAUAAUAAUGAAUUUGAUACUGU